rnacentral:lncRNA from 1 species
GUGUUAACCAAAAUUUGGCAAAAAAAAUCUACAACUGAUCGAUCUUAAAUAUUAAUAAAAAUAUUGAAAAACUAGGAUGAGAGUACCAAGGAAGCAAUAAAAAACUGAAAUGAACAAAAAAUCACUAAACAGAUACAGAUUACAAACCAUUCAAGUAAAUGGGCGAACAAUUAUUCACAAAACACCACACAUAAUGUUAAAAUUAACCAACACGGACCCCACAAACGUUAACAGGGGUGAUCUCAUAUGCUCUGGAAUUGUACAGC